rnacentral:rRNA from 1 species
GGUGUCAGCAGCCGCGGUAAGACGGAGGGAGCAAGCGUUGUCCGGAUUUACUGGGCGUAAAGCGCGCGUAGGCGGCCUAUUAAGUCGGCCGUGAAAUUGCGGGGCUCAACUCCGCACCUGCAGUCGAUACUGAUAGGCUCGAGUCCGGGAGAGGGAAGCGGAAUUCCUGGUGUAGCGGUGGAAUGCGUAGAUAUCAGGAAGAACACCGGUGGCGAAGGCGGCUUCCUGGACCGGUACUGACGCUGAGGCGCGAAAGCUAGGGGAGCGAACGGGAUUAGAUACCCCGGUAGUCCUAGCCGUAAACGAUGGUCACUAGGUGUUGCGGGUAUCGACCCCUGCAGUGCCGAAGCUAACGCAUUAAGUGACCCGCCUGGGGAGUACGGCCGCAAGGUUGAAACUCAAAGGAAUUGACGGGGGCCCGCACAAGG